CGCUGGAGCCAGGGAGGUUGAGGCUGCAGUGAGCCAUGAUCACAACACCGCACUGCACGCCAGCCUGGGCGACAGGGUGAGACCUUGUCUUAAGAAAAAGAAAAAAAAAGAAAGAUAAACAACCCUAGUCCUUGCCUUUUCCUGCACAUAAGGUAAUGAUGUCUAAUCUAAUGGGGUUAGCGAUGAUGCCUCUGUAAUCUGUCACCAGAUGGGUUCCUGCACCCAAACUUCGAUGUGAUUUUGCACUACUGAACCUCCACCAGCUGCAUAUCAGCAGUGGGCUCAAAUGCUGUGCCGUAGUCGUCUGACAAACCCUCUCUGGAGGGUUGCUUGUGGGCCAUAAGCCUCUGUCUAUAGUCAUCAGCAAGACUUCUGUAUAAAACUAAUUUUAAUUAUUUAAAAGCUUGAUUUUUUGUCUUUAGUUGAUGGUCACGCGCUUCUUUGUGUGCUCAAGAGAGAGGGACAGAGAGAGAGGAAAUAACUCUCCCAGUGUUCCCUGAAGUGCAAGAGCCCUGUUGGGGUCAGAUCUCUGACCAAAACUGUUUUUUUUUUAGGGAAUGAGGAAAGAGGAAAUGGAGGUGGGGGGGCUCACCCACACCUGCUGCUUCACCGAUGACACAGCUACGUCCCCAGCCCAGAGCCCCCUGAGCUCCUGACUUAUGUAACUGAUGACCUGCUGGAGACCUCCACUGUGACAAUCGUAACAACAGUCCCAACAGCUCGUGCACACACACUGACACAUGCCAGGCGCUGCUCCAAGUGCUCUCUGCAGCUCCUCUCAUCCACGCAAGAGCCUCACCAUCACCCCCAUUUACAGAUGAGGAAGACGAGGCUCCGAGGGGGGCAUAACCUGCCCAGGUCACUUGCCAGAGCCAACUCAUGGUGAUACCGGGACGUGAGCCAGCCACCCGGCGCCAGGCCUCUGCCCUGCACCCUGUCUUGUCCCCACCAGGUGCCUCAAACGUUCCGCCUUCCCUCACACCUGCUUGGAGCCCUUCCCCUCCUCGUCGAACUUCAACACAGUGAGGUCUCACCGCAGGCCUCCCUGCUCUAGAAAGCUUUUCUAACCGCACGCCAGGCUCGACGCCCAUCUCUGGCUGGCACGUGACUCUGCCUCCUGCACUGGGCGUGGUAACUGUCUGCAUGAACCCUGAGUUCCUUGAGGACAGGAAACCAGCCCAGGACCUGCCCACAGGGCCACCUGGUAAGGAACAGGUCAAGGAAAGCCCAGCCCAGGCCC
rnacentral:lncRNA from 1 species